GCCGUGGGGUGAGGGUCGGAGCUGCUGCUGCCGGCGAGUCGCUGUUUUGCGUCAGAUUGCGAUUUGUGUCGUCUUGGAUAUCCUGUUCGCACCAUCAUCACGUGAGGAUCUGCUCUGUCCAGGACUAUGGAGUUCCAGGAAUGACAGACGGCUGGCUUCCAUAAACAGGUUCUGAGGCUCCAUGGCUCUCUCUGGAUGAGGGUGUAACUCUUCAUGGCCCAUCAUGGCCACACAGUCGCGCAGCCCGCGCUGGCGCCGCGGCCGCCCGGCCGGCCGGCCGCCCC